GGGGGAAGCGCCGGAGCCGCCGAGGACCCCGCCGCCGCGGACCCCGCCAGCAAGAAGUGGUUUCCAGUGCUGGCAAGUUCUCUGCUGUGUGGACCAUAGUUUAGUGAACACCGAGCUGCAGACUGAGAGAUAUGUUAUGUAUCAAUUACUCUUCCAAGAAUGGUCUUCAACCUUGGGACACAGAGAAGAACCAUCUCUUUCAUUGCCUGUGCUACACAGAUGUGCUGCACUCUUGUUCUGGGGGCCGCAGAGUUCCUGAAGUUGCCAUCAGCCAGAAGUCAGGCCAAAGCCUUCUCUACUUGUUCAUCUCAUCUUGCAGUGGUGUUUGCCAGAGAGUGCUUGUUCAUGUUCAUUGAAUGAUGAAUCUACUUUGUGAUACUAUUCUUUUUGAAUAUAGGGGGAGCCAAGAAGGCGGCGCCGGGAGAGCACUGUGUCUGAGAAGCAGGACAGCACUCUCUGUGCAGCAGCGACCAGGAGAAUGAACUCUGGGCCCUAAAACUACAGCAAUCGUGUUUCCCAGGCAUUCUAUAUUUCUGAAGGCAAGCACCUACUCUUCAGAGAUUUCUAAUACCACCAUGAAGACAAAAUCUAUUCAAGUGAUGAUAAUGCUGCAACCUAGGACAUUUGGGUUGGUGGAAUGCUGGUGGAAUGAAUGCAGAAAUUGUGGUGCAUUUACACAAUGGAACAACGGAAUACUACUCAGAUCAAUGAAAUUAAGAAGAAGAAAUUUAAGGCGAAUAAAAUUUCCCCCCAAAUAAAAAUCACACACUCAAGAUGGUUGAUCUGAAUGGAAUUAAAAACACCUGUAACUUUCAAAGGCCAUGUGUGGUAGGCUCUUGUCCAGUUUCCUUUCUUCUCCUGCUUCCAAUGUCUAUCGUAUUUGUCCCUCUGAAUGAGGAUUGAGAAUCUUCCCUAGGGUCUUCCUUGUUGUUUAGCUUCUUUAGGAGAAUAGAUUUUAGUUUGUUUAUCCUACAUUAUAUGGCUAAUUUCCACUUAGGAGUGAGUAUAUACCAUGUGUGUUUUUCUGUUUCUGGGUUACCUCACUUAAGAUGAUCUUUUUCGUUGAGCUGUUACAUCGUAACUUUUACAAAUUCCUUGAAUUAUUUAUAAAGUUUAUGACUCUUCUUUAUAUAUUGCAUUCUGGGAUUCAUAAAGGUAACUCACAUUGGCUAUGGCACUGAAGGUCUUAGGAGAGAAGAAAGUAGCUUGACCUUUGUUAUCGCACAUAUUUCAAUAAUAUCUCGAUGUAUGGAAUUCUAAGUCUGAUACAGACAGAGAAGUUUGGAGUGUUACAAAGGGUAUGGAGGAAAGUAGAAUCCACAGUGUGGAAAUUCCUUGAGAAUAAUGAGGUUAAUUAGACAUAAAGGAUUCUGUUGGUGGAGUGGAUGUGUCCACUGGUCCAAGAUUAAAAUGUGGGGUGGGAUUUGCUGACUGGGAAGCUUAGAUGCAGCACAGGAGGGAUAUGUGGGUAAUGGCAGGUCCUAGAGAAUCCUAGAGACAGGUUUUGUCAUAGUCUGGGGUAGUUUACUAGACUAACGCUUAAAUUGUGAGAUCUGGUCUAAUGAUGGAAUAUUAGGAAGGAGGAGUAGACGGGGAGGAUCAUGGAACCUCACUGGGAUAUACCAUGGAGAAAGAUCUGGCUGGGCAGAGAAGUUGCAUGUGGUUUGAGCUCUCUUAUAGCUUUGGGUAUAUAGGUUUCAAGGCAACAUUUCCCUAAAACAUGUUUGUAAAAAUAAUGAUCCUUAAUAUAAAAUAUAAUAAUCUCUCUCUAUCACACACAUAUAUAUGUAUAUGUAUAUAUUUCUUCUUGCCCAAUGACAAAGGUAGAGCAACUUUCUUCUCAGUUCAUGUUUUUUUUUUUAAGAUGAAAGAUUUAUUUUUCUUCUAAAAAGAACAAACAACCCACCACCACCACCACCACCAACAACAAAAAUUUCAUGGGGGAGUGUGGAAGAAAAGAAAACUAAAAGUUUGGUGGGUAAAGAGUAGAGAGGCUGUAUAUAUGAGAAGAUAAUGAAGUGUGUUCAAUAUAUGUUCUAAAUAUAUUGUAUGAAGUUCUUAAGUCAUUAAAGAAAAUGUUGCCGAAAGGAAUUUUGAACAUCAAGAUUUACUUGUUGCAUGAUUGCUCGAUUGUCUCUGGUUCCAUCUAGUGUUCCAAAGUUGUAAAAACACUGGUUCUGAGGUUAAAGUGGUGAAUUUGGCUUUUGUCUUUUUUGUGUCCUCAGAUGUAAAAGCUUACCCACAUGUUUCUUCUCACACAGAGAUCUUCCUGACAUCAGUCGUGAUCUUCAUCUAUCUUCUAUCAAUAAUUGUCAUUGUUUUCUACUAUAAGGGCUUGGAUCUCAGUGCAUUUUAAUAAACCAUGUAGUUAUCAGAGAGUUAGAUUACAUUUAUACAAAGAGAAAUUUCAGCAAAAUUGAAUGAAUACCUUUAUCCCAUAGAGUAAUAUGUUUCUAAAUAUCUAAAUUUUUAAUUUAAAUUCAUGAAGUUGUAACAAGAAAAGCAUAUUCAGAAAAUAUGUUCUAAAGAGUAAAUUAUUUAGGAAAAAAAAGCAGAUAAUUCACAUCACAUUCUGGGAGGUAAUUACAGUGGUCUGAAUCAUCAUAGCAACUCUGUAUUAAUUAUCAGGUUUAGUUUACUUCAGUGUACAAUUGAUAAGCCUCAGCUUUAAAAGGGAAAAAUCAGUUAAAGUUUCAGAGGCAGUGACAGGAAGUCUUACCUCAUAGGUACGGAGGGCAACUAGCUGCUCAUCAAUUACUCUAACAUAGUCUAGAUUUGCUUAUAUCUGUCCAGAUUUGUUAAUAUCUGUAUGUUGAAGUCUUCACAUAAAAGUAAACAUUAUGCUUUCUGUAAAAAAAAAAAAAAAGAGUAAAUUAUUAUCUCCCUCUUCUUCCAUAAGGUUUCCAGUACUUUGCCCAGACUUUGGCUAUGAGUCUCAGUAUCACCUUCAACACCCUGAUGGGUAGAGUCUUUCAGAGACUCCCUGUGGAAGGUUCCUGUCCUGUUCCUGUCUUCUCUCACUUCUGAUGUCUAUCCUGUUUGCCCUUCUGAGUGACAUUUCAGCCUCUUCCCUAGGGUCCUCCUUGUUGUUUAGCUUCUUAUAAUUUAGGACAAUAGAUUUUAGUAUAGAAAGACCUGGAGGGGACAAAAGCUUCACCAAUAGACUAUCAGAGCCAAAAAACCUCCGGCCAGCAGGGUGGAGUUGCUGCAGGGACCUAUACUUCAACCAAGAACCAUGCAUGGAAAGACCUAGAACCCCAGCUCAGAGGAAGCCAACAGGGUGCUCAAUCUCCAAGUGGGUUCCCUAGAAAGGGGAGAAGGGGCUGUCUCUAACACGAACUCAGUGGCUGUCUAUUUGAUUACUUCCCCCUGGGAGGAGCAGUCUUGCCAGGCCACAGAGGAAGACAAUGCAGCCAGUUCUAAUAAGACCUGAUAGGCUAGGGUCAAAGAGAAGGGGAGGAGAUAGAGGGAAAAAAGGAAGGGUGGAUGAGAAUGGGAGGAGAUGGGGGAGAGGGCUACAGCAUAAUACAUGAAUAAAUUGUAAUAACCAAAUAAAUAAAUUAAUUAAAAAUAAAAUAGAUAAAAACAUUAAAAGAGUAAAUUGUUAAAUAUACAAACCAUAAAGGUAAAUAUUAAGUUUUUGCUAAACUUAUGAAACUUUAUUUAUGUUUAGAAUUAAUUCCCAUGCACAGAGUUUACCAAUCUGAUUCCCAAGUAACAAUAGAAGGUUAAUAUCUGUAUUUAGACAGAUAAGAAUUCAGGUUUGAGCUACAUAUGUCAAAGAUCAUCAGUAGUUAUAAUUUGCCAGGGGAAUACAUGCUAUGGAAUACUUGUUGUGAAAAAUAAUUACACUGAGGUUGGACAAGAUUGGUAAUCUUUUGCUACAAAUAGCUAGCUAUUGAAAUGCAGUUGUUUUCAGGAAACUAUUAUGGACAAUGUAAAACAGCCAACUAAACUGAUGUGUUUAUUAACUCUUCUAUGAAAGGUUUUAAUGUCACUUCCAUCUUUUAGAAAACAUAUUUUCUUAGCAACAUGUACAUGAGAACUCCUGAAUGGGUUCUCAAUGUAAGAAAACAAUUGUGAAUAGGCAGUAUGGAUAUUUUACAGUAACAAUUUUACUUUUUCUUGUGACAUUUAAAAUAAUUUAGUUACAAAGAUUUACAUCGUAAAUAUUUUCCUAGUUACAAAUAACUUCUAUUUAGAAUAUUUUUUCUUAAUUCUUAAUUUAAAAAAUUUUCUUAAUUUAAAAACACUUGGAGGGGACAGGAGCUCCAAGAGGAGACCAACAGAGCCAAGAAAACUGAGCCCUGGGAGCCCUGCGGUGUCUGAUAGCCCAACCAAGGACAAUGCAUGGAGAAGACCUGAAAACCUUGCUCAGAUAUAGCCCAUAGACUCAGUAUCCAAAUAGGGUCCCUAGUAAGGGGUGCAGUGGUUUUCUCUGGUAUGAAUUCAGUGACAGGCGCUAUGAUCACCUCCCCUUCGGCAUGACGCCUUGCCAGGCCACAGAGGAAGACAACAGUUCUGAUGAGACCUGAUAGGCUAUGGUCAACUAGAAGGGGAGAUCCUCUGUAUCACUGAACUAGGGGAGGGACAUGGAGGAGAAGAGGAAAGGAGGCUGGGACUUGGAGGAGACAAGGGAGGGUGCUACAAAGUGAAUAAAUAAAUUGUAAUAGAUGAUAAUUCAAAAAAAAGUCACCUCAGGACUAGGGACAUUAACUUCUUAUUAGAGCAUACCUGUCUAUCAUGCUUGAGUCCCUAAAUUUAGUUUCCACUCCUGAAAGAAAAAGCAAAGAAAACAACUGAACUAUUACUGAGAGUGGUAAUUACCUCUUCAAAUAAUUAACAGUGGCACUAUUUUUCUAGUAAUUACGUAUUUACAAGAACACAUACCCCAGUGGCAGUAAUCCCAUUAGAGAUCCGCAGAAACUUUUGGAAAGAUACAUUUGGGAUCUCAGUGAUUAGACCCCCAAUGCCAUGAGAAUGUAGUAAAAGCCCAUCAUUUUUAUAGGAAAUUGUUCAUUUAGUCUACUGGAAAACAGUCCUUCCCUUGGUAAGUUAUUUCUGUGGGCGUUAGAUGGGCUUUCAUUAAAUAAAAAGUAGUUUUUGUGGAUCUGAGGUAGAUAAAAAAUGAUGAAUCAUGACAAAAAAAUUGUAGGAAAAUGUAGUUAAAAUUGCUUUUGUGUGCAAGGGUGAUUUGUUCUUACUUUAUCUGACAACUUUUGUUCAAUAAUCUGUAACAUCUUUGUUUAAAUACAUAUUUUAUUACAGCUAAGAAGUAACUCAUGCUGUCUGAUAAUUUGAAAUAUUUUUUUGUUAUAAUUGAACAUUGUUUUAUGUGUGCAAAGGUUUUUGUGGAUGUAAUUUGUAAUUAGAUUUCUGAAAAGCUGAUAUGUUUCCAUCUUCUGCUUCUUCUCUUUAAGUACCUUCUCUUGUUAGCAUCAUAACACGUUUUAUCCUAACUUCCCAAGACUGGACGCCAUGCUUUUCUGUGGAAUGAGAAAACCUUUCCCACACUUCAGCCUGUCUCAGUGUGACCUAAAUAUAAAGUCUUG